GAUCCUGGCUCAGGAUGAACGCUAGCGACAGGCUUAACACAUGCAAGUCGAGGGGCAGCAUGAUUUGUAGCAAUACAAUUUGAUGGCGACCGGCGCACGGGUGAGUAACGCGUAUGCAACUUACCUAUCAGAGGGGGAUAGCCCGGCGAAAGUCGGAUUAAUACCCCAUAAAACAGGGGUCCCGCAUGGGAAUAUUUGUUAAAGAUUCAUCGCUGAUAGAUAGGCAUGCGUUCCA
rnacentral:rRNA from 1 species